AGCCACUUGGAAGACUACACUAAGAGUCUGCAGCCAGGAGACAGGAUGCAAAGAGCACUUAGCAUUUCGGAAACCGUUUGCUGUUUUCUAUGGAGAGGCUCCCUUCCUAGUCCCAACCAGAAUUUGGAAUCGAUUGAAAAAUUUGGAAUCAAUUGAAAAAGAAGACAUAGAAGACUAACUAAUGGAGGUGCCCUGGGUUUGGCUCCCCACCACCCAGUGAAGUAUGUGUGGGACACAACCCAAAUCAAAGCCAACAAGUCACUGCCCAAACAUCCAGGGCCGAGGGAAAAGGAGCAACAUGUUCUCACCACACGCCACUUCAGAACCAGAACCUUAGGAAAUUCUGCUGCGUCGGGAGGCGCCUUGGGCACCCGAUGCACGGACGACAGACGUGUGUUCCUACUUCCAAGAAGCUUCAACCAUCCAGAGAGGGAGACGAAGUCAGCGCGGAAGCUUUGCUAGGGCAGGAGCCAGGCCAGACGGAGAGCUAACCCUGUCCCCUCCUUCAGGGCUCUGUGACCAGAGGCAAGUUAUUUAACCUUGGUGACCCACGGCCUUCUAUCUCAGGAAUGGGAAGAUGCCAUUUUCACAGGGUUGUUGUAAGGAUUAAAUGAGAUUUUCCCAAACCUCAGGUAUUGGCACCUCCCCUUUAAAAUGUUUGCUUCAUCUCCCCGCAACGUGGGCAAUCAGUUCAUUCACAUCACCACCCACUUUCGCUUCCUCCUAAGUGGCAAUAUCUGUGAAAUCUCGGGUUUGGUGUGUGAGUCCUAUUUUUUGGUUUCCUAAUGGACACUAAAGCAAAUGCACAUGGCCACAGGCACAUGAAAAGAUGCUCUACGUCGCUCCUCAUCAGGGAAAUACAAAUCAAAACCACACUCAGAU